UGGAUAGCUUGGGUCUCUGGCCACUAAUUAGAGCAAUCUUCAAGACCACUCACUCGGUGACAUCUGUCGCCUAGUGAGUGAGAGUAGUUGGGAGAGUUUAAUCUCAGUUCCUUUUAUAUGGAGACCCUUUGUAGCAUUUGGGUCAAGACUUGCUGGUAUUUCUCCAUAGCACGAUGGUGCCAUUCCACUACCAUCGAGAGAUGGUAGACAUCUUCUC
rnacentral:lncRNA from 1 species